UACGUAGGGUGCGAGCGUUUGUCCGGAAUUACUGGGCGUAAAGAGCUCGUAGGUGGUUUGUCGCGUUGUCCGUGAAAACUCACAGCUCAACUGUGGGCGUGCGGGCGAUACGGGCAGACUGGAGUACUGCAGGGGGAGACUGGAAUUCCUGGUGUAGCGGUGGAAUGCGCAGAUAUCAGGAGGAACACCGGUGGCGAAGGCGGCCCCC
rnacentral:rRNA from 1 species